rnacentral:rRNA from 1 species
CCUACGGGCGGCAGCAGUGAGGAAUAUUGGUCAAUGGACGAGAGUCUGAACCAGCCAAGUAGCGUGAAGGAUGACUGCCCUAUGGGUUGUAAACUUCUUUUAUAUGGGAAUAAAAUGUUCCACGUGUGGGAUUUUGUAUGUACCAUAUGAAUAAGGAUCGGCUAACUCCGUGCCAGCAGCCGCGGUAAUACGGAGGAUCCGAGUGUUAUCCGGAUUUAUUGGGUUUAAAGGGAGCGUAGGUGGAUUGUUAAGUCAGUUGUGAAAGUUUGCGGCUCAACCGUAAAAUUGCAGUUGAAACUGGCAGUCUUGAGUACAGUAGAGGUGGGCGGAAUUCGUGGUGUAGCGGUGAAAUGCUUAGAUAUCACGAAGAACACCGAUGGCGAAGGCAGUUCACUGGACUGCAACUGACACUGAGGCUCGAAAGUGUGGGUAUCAAACAGGAUUAGAUACCCUUGUAGUC